rnacentral:rRNA from 1 species
GAUGAACGCUGACAGAAUGCUUAACACAUGCAAGUCUUUGGCGAAGCUGUGCUUGCACAGCCUAGCCAAGGCGGACGGGUGAGUAACGCGUAAGGAACUUGCCCUGCAGUCAGGGAUAACAGACGGAAACGACUGAUAAGACCUGGUAAAGUCAGGCGGACUCAUGUCCAGCCUGAUGAAAAGAGAUGCUGCAGGAGAGCCUUGCGUCCUAUUAGCUUGUUGGUGGUGUAACGGCCCACCAAGGCGAUGGUAGGUAGCCGGCCUGAGAGGGUGGACGGCCACAAGGGGACUGAGAUACGGCCCUUACUCCUACGGGAGGCAGCAGUGGGGAAUAUUGGACAAUGGGGGCAACCCUGAUCCAGCAAUUCUGUGUGCACGAUGAAGGUUUUCGGAUUGUAAAGUGCUUUCAGCAGGGAAGAAAAAAAUGACGGUACCUGCAGAAGAAGCGACGGCUAACUACGUG